rnacentral:ncRNA from 1 species
AUGGCCAGAACCUUGGCGAUAUAGGGGAUCAGCGGCAGGUUCAGGAUCAACAGCACAAGGUUGCCGAUGAACAUGGAGAUGAUGACAGCCCAGAAUACCUCUGGCGUGUCCGUCAUCAGGCGCGGGCC